rnacentral:rRNA from 1 species
GGGUCAGUAGGUUGGUCGUGCCACCGGUACGUACUGGUCUCACUGAUUCCUCCUUCCUGAAGAACCGUAAUGCCAUUAAUUUGGUGUUGCGGGGAGACAGGACUGUUAUUUUGAAAAAAUUAGAGUGUUUAAAGCAAGCUAACGCUUGAAUACAUUAGCAUGGAAUAAUGAAAUAGGACGAUCGAUCCUAUUUUGUUGGUUUCUAGGAUUGACGUA